GACGAACGCUGGCGGCGUGCUUAACACAUGCAAGUCGAACGGUGAAGCGCCUUCCUUUUUGGUGGGUGUGGAUGAGUGGCGAACGGGUGAGUAACACGUUAGUAACCUGCCCCCUUCUUCUGGAUAACCGCAUGAAAGUGUGGCUAAUACGGGAUAUUCUGGGUCUGUCGCAUGAUGGGUCUGGGACAGAUAUUGUUUCGGUGGUGGAUGGGCUCGCGGCCUAUCAGCUUGUUGGUGGGGUGAUGGCCUACCAAGGCGGUGACGGGUAGCCGGCCUGAGAGGGUGGACGACACUAGUGCGGAUGAGCGGCGGCGCCGCCUACUACAGGAGGCAGCAGUGGAGAAUAUGGCACGAUGGGAGGAAGGCUGGUGCAACGCCGCGGCGUGAGUGAUGGAGGCCUUCGGGUUGUGAACUUCUUUCGGGAGUGAAGAAGGGCUGAAUCGUUUGUGGGUGGGUUGACGGUAGCUGGACAAGAAGCGCCGGCUAACUACGUG
rnacentral:rRNA from 1 species